rnacentral:rRNA from 1 species
GGUCUGAGAGGAUGAUCAGCCACACUGGGGACUGAGACACGGCCCAGACUCCUACGGGAGGCAGCAGUGGGGAAUAUUGGACAAUGGGCGAAAGCCUGAUCCAGCAAUGCCGCGUGAGUGAUGAAGGCCUUAGGGUUGUAAAGCUCUUUUACCAGGGAUGAUAAUGACAGUACCUGGAGAAUAAGCUCCGGCUAACUCCGUGCCAGCAGCCGCGGUAAUACGGAGGGAGCUAGCGUUGUUCGGAAUUACUGGGCGUAAAGCGCACGUAGGCGGUUACUCAAGUCAGAGGUGAAAGCCGGGCUCAACCCGGAACUGCCUUGAACUAGGUGACUAGAAUCUUGGAGAGGUCAGUGGAAUUCCGAGUGUAGAGGUGAAAUUCGUAGAUAUUCGGAAGAACACCAGUGGCGAAGGACGACUGACUGGACAAGUAUUGACGCUGAGGUGCG